UGAGCCAGUGGCCAAGUUAGGUCCUGAGCAAAUGGUUGAAGCACAGGAGCUGCCCUCGGCUCAUGGCGUGGAAGUGGCCAGGGAACCUUCACUGCAAGACACUGUAGCUGCCAGGGGAGAGGGGAG
rnacentral:lncRNA from 1 species